rnacentral:rRNA from 1 species
CUUUUAUGGAGAGUUUGAUCCUGGCUCAGGACGAACGCUGGCGGCGUGCCUAAUACAUGCAAGUCGAGCGAACAGAGAAGGAGCUUGCUCCUUCG